CCUACGGGACGCACCAGUGGGGAAUAUUGCACAAUGGGCGCAAGCCUGAUGCAGCCAUGCCGCGUGUGUGAAGAAGGCCUUCGGGUUGUAAAGCACUUUCAGCGAGGAGGAAGGUGGUGAGCUUAAUACGCUCAUCAAUUGACGUGACUCGCAGAAGAAGCACCGGCUAACUCCGUGCCAGCAGCCGCGGUAAUACGGAGGGUGCAAGCGUUAAUCGGAAUUACUGGGCGCAAAGCGCACGCAGGCGGUUUGUUAAGUCAGAUGUGAAGUCCCCGGGCUCAACCUGGGAACUGCAUUUGAAACUGGCAAGCUAGAGUCUCGUAGAGGGGGGUAGAAUUCCAGGUGUAGCGGUGAAAUGCGUAGAGAUCUGGAGGAAUACCGGUGGCGAAGGCGGCCCCCUGGACGAAGACUGACGCUCAGGUGCGAAAGCGUGGGGAGCAAACAGGAUUAGAUACCCGGGUAGUC
rnacentral:rRNA from 1 species